CGGACGGGUGAGUAACGCGUGGGUAACCUGCCCUGUACAGGGGGAUAACAGCUGGAAACGGCUGCUAAUACCGCAUAAGCGCACGAGGAGACAUCUCCUUGUGUGAAAAACUCCGGUGGUACAGGAUGGGCCCGCGUCUGAUUAGCUGGUUGGCAGGGUAACGGCCUACCAAGGCAACGAUCAGUAGCCGGUCUGAGAGGAUGAACGGCCACAUUGGAACUGAGACACGGUCCAA
rnacentral:rRNA from 1 species